GUGGGGAAUUUUGGACAAUGGGGGCAACCCUGAUCCAGCCAUGCCGCGUGAGGGAAGAAGGCCUUCGGGUUGUAAACCUCUUUCGGGCGGGACGAAAGCGCUCGGGCGAAUAGCCUGAGUGGAUGACGGUACCGCAAGAAGAAGCACCGGCUAACUACGUGCCAGCAGCCGCGGUAAUACGUAGGGUGCGAGCGUUAAUCGGAAUUACUGGGCGUAAAGCGUGCGCAGGCGGCUUUGCAAGCCAGACGUGAAAGCCCCGGGCUUAACCUGGGAAUGGCGUUUGGGACUGCAAGGCUGGAGUGCGGCAGAGGGAACUGGAAUUCCUGGUGUAGCAGUGAAAUGCGUAGAUAUCAGGAGGAACACCGAUGGCGAAGGCAGGUUCCUGGGCCAGCACUGACGCUCAUGCACGAAAGCGUGGGGAGCAAACAGGAUUAGAUACCCUAGUAGUCC
rnacentral:rRNA from 1 species